GGUUGAGACCUUGUUGUUGCGUUCUGGCUUGGAGCGCCUUGUCCUUCUUAUUUUUCCCGUUGUCCACUGCGUUCCGUGAGACUGUCCCUCUUUCAGUAGAAGCGUGGGUAGCUUUGGCGUCAAACGCUGCCCUCUCUCUGCCCGAAGAAGGUGGCUCAUUUCAGUUCCGCCGGGGCCGCCGGGAGAGAUUUGCUGCAGCCUGAAGAAAAAAAAGCUGCGAGACGAACUUCUGCGGGCUACAGGCUGUUUCCUCAGAGCUGCCCCUGUAUUUCAUCUGCAUCAGCUAACUGGGCCACCUGGAUCUGUUGGAUGAGGUAUUACAAAGUUGUCUGCUUAUAUCUGUUCCUGAAAGAAGAGGGGUUCUUUUUGCACACAUUGCAAUAAACUACUGACAAUUCAA